UACGGAGGGUGCGAGCGUUAAUCGGAAUUACUGGGCGUAAAGCGUGCGCAGGCGGUUUGUUAAGCGAGAUGUGAAAGCCCCGGGCUCAACCUGGGAUGGUCAUUUCGAACUGGCAAGCUAGAGUCUCGUAGAGGGGGUAGAAUUCCAGGUGUAGCGGUGAAAUGCGUAGAGAUCUGGAGGAAUACCGGUGGCGAAGGCGGCCCCCUGGACGAAGACUGACGCUCAGGCACAAAAGCGUGGGGAGCAAACAGG
rnacentral:rRNA from 1 species